rnacentral:misc_RNA from 1 species
UUCCUUGAUUAAGAUCAAUCGGGUGUGAAUCACAACUAAAACAACAAUAGCAGCAACAACAACAAUCACGCGCUCUGAGGCACGUGUCACGUUAGAGUUAUUCCCCUUGCAUCUUUUAGAUAACAGGUGGCGCUAGUGAACAUGGCGGCAAAUUCAAAAAUGUCUUUGGUCAGGUUUUUACUUUCAUAAUAUUUAGGAAAACCCAGCGGGAAGCUUGUUUUACAGCUUGUAUUUACCAUGGGGGUCACGGAUUUAUGGUCAGUGCUUGAUCCAGUUAAGAAACAUUUGCCAUUGAGCAGCUUACGUGGACAGAGGCUUGCUGUGGAUCUUAGUAUUUGGAUUUGUGAAUCUCAAGGUGUCGUGCAGAUGGAGAGGGUUAUCUCAAAACCGUACCUCAGAAACCUGUUCUUCCGUGUGAACCACUUAUUACUCAGUGGAAUAGAUUUAGUAUUUAUUAUCGAUGGUCGUGCUCCUGAAAUGAAGGCAGAGACAAUGCGAAAACGCCAAAAGGAGUGUUUCUUGUAUAGAAAAUCAUCUCAGAAUAACUUCUGGACAUGCAAGAAUACCAAAAGAUCACAUUUGAAUGCAUUUGUUAAAAAGUGUUGUGAGUUGCUGGAUUGUCUUGGAGUGCCAUAUUUGGAAAGUCAAGGAGAAGCAGAGGCCUAUUGUGCUUUCCUUAAUAAACAUGGUGUAGUCGAUGCCUGCAUCACUAACGAUGGAGAUGCUUUCCUUUAUGGAGCCCCAAAAAUUUAUCGAAACUUCACCAUGGACCGAAAGGACCCCCACGUUGAGAGCUACACAGUGCAAGACAUCGAACAACAGCUGUCCCUUACCCAAGAGAAACUUGUGGCCUUUGCUCUGCUUACUGGCUGUGAUUACCAACCAAAGGGCAUUCCACAAGUUGGAGUGGAAACAGCACUAAAGUUACUUAGGGCCCUCACCAACAGAGAUCUACUUUUAAGAUUUCGUCAGUGGCGCUCCAUGAAAUCUUCAGACUGCUGUUGUGAUAUUGAGAGGACAGUCUGGGAGAAAGCCUGCAAGUUACCCGGCUUUCCAUCUGAACAGAUAAUUGAAGAAUUCUUAGUUUCUAAAGAUGUUUUACCAAAGAACAAUCUUCAGUGGAAAAGUCCAAAUAUGAAGAAAUUCGAGAAUUUCAUGGCUGUCAAUCUGGAAUGGCCCAAAGAUUAUGCUGUGCAGAAAGUUCUACCACUUCUUACAAGAUGGAUUAUGUUGGAGAUAGUCGGUCUGGUCACAACUAAAACUCGUGGACUUUAUCUCACCCCUGUAAAAAUCCUAAAGAAUCGAGUUUGUAAAGGUGUACAAUCUGUUGAAGUGGAAUGGAAAAUUUCAGGAUCUUCUGAAAAUGAAGCUUAUGUUACUGUUGAGGACAGAGAAAUGGUUGGCCAGUGUUUUCCUGAUCUCUUGGAGCAAUUUUCACAGGAAUUAAAGAAGAAAACAAAGACAAAACCUGCCUCCAGAAUUAGCAGCAAGACAAAAAAGAGCCAACCAGAGGCAAACUCAGCCGAGUCCCAACAAGUUUUGUUGCUGAGUAUGGAAGGACUUACUCUGAAACCAAACGAAGCAGCUGCUACACAGAAGACUGUGAAAGGGACCAGUGAGGAAUUCCCUGCCAAAAGAGAGAAACACACAGCAAGAUUUGCAUGUGAACCAGUUCUUACGGCUUUUAAUGAAGAAUCUAUAAGAAAUUGUUUAUCUUCUGUUUCUCAGAAUGAGGAACCUUCUUCUGGUGCUGGGCUGACCAAUUUAAGGUGUAACAGUACUGAGUCUUCUGAGCCAGACAUUUCUGAUGAUGAAUAUUUACCUCUUAAAGAAAGAAUAAAGAACUCUUGUGUACAAAUUCAAAACCAUAAACCAAAGAAGGAAAUGUCUAGAACAUCAUUAUUACCAUCAUUUACCAAUUCCAUUAAAUCAGAAACUAACUCUGAAACAGACUCCAAAAGCAGGAGUCAAAUCCGAAACUCUGCAAGUGUAUCAAUGUGUUCUGAUCAACAGACCAAUACCAUCGGUCACGGUGCCAGUAUUAUUGAGUCAAUUGAUUUAACAGGAAAUUCUUAUUCCUCUUGUCCAGAGAUAGACUCUUCCAAUGAUGAAGACUCUGAUGAUAGCCUAUAUCUUCCUGUUUCUCACAAACUGCUUAACCGUUACCAAAUUUCUGGUGAGUCUCAAAACGAAGAUAACUUUCAGUCUAACCAAUGCCUCCCAUUAGAUUCCUCUCAGUUUCCAUGUGAUGACAGCAUCAAAAUAAACCAUUGUGAAAGAAUGGAAGAACUGAAUAAAUCAAUAGAGUUUUCUCAAAAAUUUCCAGAUAAUUCUGCUGAACCCUUUGACAAUUCUCAGUUAUCCAAAAUGGCUGAAAUAACUGAACAGUUCUUCCUGUUGAAUGUAAAUGAAGUAGAAGCCUUGUCAUCAAAUCUUUCUGGAAUGGUAUCAAUGGCUACACUUCAACAGUGUAAGGACACUGUCGAGAGGUCAUUUGGUACAGAUGCCAAGCAGCUAUAUACGGAUGCUAUGAAGAGGUCAUGUAGUACAGAUGCUACACAAGUGUGUACAGACACUGUUGAGAAGUCUACAGAUGCUACACAAGUGUGUACAGACACUGUUGAGAGGUCAUUCAGUACAGAUGCUACACAGCUGUCUACAGACACUAUCAAGAGAUCAUUUAGUACAGAUGCUACACAGCUGUGUACUGACCCUGUUGAGGGGUCAUUCUGUACAGAUGCUACACGACUGUAUACAGAUAUUAUCGAGAGAUCAUUUAGUACAGAUGCUACACAACUGUGUAUGGACAUUGUUGAGAGGUCAUUCAGUACAGAUGCUACACAGCUGUCUACAGACACUAUCGAGAAGUCAUUUAAUACAGAUGCUACACAGCUGUGUACUGACCCUGUUGAGGGGUCAUUUAAUACAGAUGCUACACAGCUGUGUACUGACCCUGUUGAGGGGUCAUUUAAUACAGAUGCUACACAGCUGUGUACUGACCCUGUUAAGGGGUCAUUUAAUACAGAUGCUACACAGCUGUGUACUGACCCUGUUGAGGGGUCAUUCUGUACAGAUGCCACACUGCUAUGUACAGAUAUUGUUACUGAUGCGACCCAACUUUGCACUAAUACUCUUGAAGUUCCAUCCCAGACAGAUGCCAUUCAACUUUUAGCUGAAAAUCAAUCACUACACCCACCCAUAAAAGAUGGAAGCAGAUUGUCGACCAAAGACACAAAAUUCUAUUCUGCUGGAGACUUUUCCCUCCAUGAUGUACAGGAGGGUCCAUGCUGUUCCUUGCCACCCAGUUUGAAGACGUCUUUCAAUGAAUCUCUUCAACAUAGAAACUGUAGCAACACAAUUUCAAACUAUUCUAUAAACGGAGAAGACAAUGCAUCCCUUCUUUUUUGUAAUUCCACUUCUGUUAGUAAUACUAUUUCUGACAUAAGUAACCAUUCUCAGACCCCCGAAGACAGUUCUAUGCUGUUUAUGAAUGACAAAAACUCUGUAAGUCCUGAUCAUGUUCUCAAAAAUAGUUCCUUGAUAUCAAAUCAUUGUUUAAAUCCAACCAAAACUGAAACUGCUUCUCAGCAUCUUGAGAAUUUGUCUGAAAGUGUGUCAGACAUCACAGUUUCAGAGAACACAGUAGUAGAGUUUCAUGGAUCAAAGACGCCAGGAGGUGCUUUAGCCAUGCAAGAAUUCCCUGUCUCUAACAAGGAUCCUGAAGAAGAUGCAAUUCCAUACUCAUCGUUUGAAGAUUAUUCUUCAAUUAUGGAUGCUGUUUAUAACUUAACACCUGACUCUCUGAAUUCUUUCAGUGAAAGCAGGGUGGGGAAUUUUGAACUCAUCUCUUCUCUUUUAGACAAUUCUUCUGAAUUCAAGUUGGAUUCUGAUUCUCCUAAAAUUUCUGAAAACAUGAAGACUCAUAUAUUCAACUCGACAACUAAUUCUGGUUAUAAAAACCAGAUGGAAAUUAAAUAUUCUUGUAGAAAGAACUCUCUGACCAAUUUGCAAAAGAAUUCAUGUUUUAUUUUGUCUCCUUACAUCAGUUCUGUAGAGAAGACAUCAAGUCUUCUGAAAUCUCCAAAUAAUGAUGCCAGUUUUUCUUACAAUACAACAGUUGGUUCACAUGAAAUGUCUGGUGCAGUACCAAAUUCUUCUGCUUCUGUUCUUCAAGAAAAUUUAAGAACUGGAUUAAAUGAUAAAUUGAUUUUUAAAUCUUCAAAAGAGUCUGCAGGUUUAGAGAAUGAGAACACUAAAGUCAAGUCUCCGCAUGAAGGAUAUAUAAGUUCAUUGUCUUGUGAAAAUAUUCAUAGUAGUCCAAAGCAAACGUCAUUUCAGCAGGGAGGUUCUUCAACGUUUGAAGAGAUGAGUUACCUUUCUGGUUUCGAUGAUUCUUUCUCCCCAUUUGAUGUCACCAAAACAAUAACUCCGAGAUCAAUUAAUCAGAAUAAUCCAGUAAAAUGUUGUUGGGAUUAUCUAAAUCUUUCUCCUAAUUCUUCAGAUAACUCUGAUGAUACAUUCGAUAAUUACAAGAGCAGUGUUAAGAUGAACACAGAUAUUGAUCUCAAAGACCGUUAUACAGAUGACGCCAAACUAGAAUCAAAACCAAACCCUGCAUCACCACUUCCUCUUGUAAUGAGGCUGGGAAAACAUUUCAAUGCACAACGCAUAAAGAACUUCAAGAAAUAAUAUUUAUUUUGCAAGUAUUCUUUGGUGAUCACUACCACAGUUACACAAUGUUGGAGCCACCACCAGCAUCUCCACCCUUAUACUACCCACAAUAUAGUCUCUGUGACAAGGCCUGGAACAAAUUCAAUGAACCCGUAAAACGACUGUAUGGUGCAAAGGUCACUUCAAAGCCAUGUUUUCAGCUUCAACAGAACUGUGCCUCACCUUCAGCUGUUGUCGUCUACUUUAACCCCCGGUCAACCAAAGCCUCAUGAUUGAAAUUUAAUAGACAGAAACUGUUUGGCUGCCCAUCAGAGAUCAUUUCUGUGCUUUUGGUGUGGUAGUGUUUAGUCUCUUGGUUAAACACCAUCACCUCUUCUUUCACUACUCUCCAUGGAAUCUGCUCAGUUGCCAGCCUUUGAGAACGGCUUCUUUCUAUUAGUCUCAGAGCUCAAGAGUACCACUCUUCUUCUUAUAAGUCCUGAUUUCGAAUCCCAUCCUGACUGAAUUUAUCUUGUUAUGGGUCCAUCAGCUAAGUACCAGUAAUAGACUAUACACAUCAUGGCCCCUGUACAGAGUUCAAAUUUGAACACAGCAUGACAAAUUUAAAAAAAACCUCUAAAUGGUUACUUGAUCUGCUAAAAAUAGCAGCCACUUUCAUUUGGAUCACAUUCAAGAAUUUCAUUAAAAAAACAAAAAAAAAACAAAAUAAAAAUAAAGGGUAGAUUAUUCUGGAUACAGUUAUCAUUAUCACUGUAAUCAUCAUCAUCAUCAUCAUCAUCUACUUUUUCCAUGCUGGCAUGUGUUGGACAAGGCUUUCUCAAUCAGUAUUCUACACCCGGAUACCCUUCCUUAUUAGCAAUGAAGUUGGUAAUCCAUUACAAAUGUUCAAAGUGUUGGCCAUGUAGCUCUAGAUAAGUCUUUAUAUGGAAUCUGAAAUUGUGAUGAACUCUCUCAAAUAUCUCUCACACGCUUCAACAAUUCUUUGAAGAAAGUUCUUGGUCAUGAAUUUUUCAGAAUGCACAAGUGGGGGAGUGGCUGUGUGGUCAGUAGCUUGCUUACCAACCACAUGGUUCUGGGUUCAGUCCCACUGUGUGGCACCUUGGGCAAGUGUCUU